UUCAACUCCCAUCAAGGAAGAACAGCCAAGAGCCGAGCGUAUAUUAUGGACCUGAGAUCCCUGCACUGAGAAGCUCCUAGAAGCAGGAGACUGAGAUAGAGAGAGGAAGCUGUAACCCUGAAGAUGCUUAAAUACAGACCAGAAGAGGAGUUUGGGGCUUGACACCUGACAUCUUAACACCAGUUCCUGUUUCUUGAGGAAGGAAGAGGUAAAAUAAAUCAGCGUUUGCUGUUUCCUUCUCCAUCCCCGGAAGUCCUGAUGAAGACCCUCUCAGGUAAGGAUUGACAGGGAGUGGCUUGGUUUACUAUUCAACUUUGUCCUUCAGUAACUUUGUUUAUGUCCUGCAUGUAAACUGUUGUGCAUUGAGAAGCAUUCUAAUUCUUGUGCAGAAGGACUAGACCUCCUGCAGAAUGACUAUAUUGUGCCUCCCUCGGGCACCCCUGUCUGCGCAGCACCCCCCAACGCCAACUGCCCAACCGCCUCUCUCCUGGCAUUCUGCUUCUAGAAGCAUGUUCUUUUGAUGCAGAGAUGCAGCACACACAGAAUCCCAGCUGGAUUACAGACUUGAACCUGAAGACCUUAUGCAGAAUGACAAUUUAUGAACCACUAAGCUCAGUACUAAAGCAGCUUCAACUUGAACGUGAAUAUGAGCAACUGAUCAUCUGUUCUGCAGUCAGCCCCUGCCCUGAUUCUGACUCAUGAUAUUGACCAAGUGAAGAGUGAUUCAGAGAAAAACAUGGAUAGAGUGUGACCUAAUUUCCAUAAAAACAAAC